CAAGAGUCUGGAUGAACUCCGGGAGUUGGUGAUGGACAGGGAGGCCUGGAGUGCUGGGGUCCAUGGGAUCACAAAGAGUUGUAUAUGACUGAGUGACUGAACUGAACUGAACUGAAAGGAGUCCACUGCCCUCCGAAAUUCUGCUGAGUCACCACAGCCCUUCCAUGCUUGUUGGAUAAGGCUGGUACAGCCAAACUUGAAGAGCCUGAAGUUGUCCGCUUGUAAGGAGGUGCUGAUUUUCCAAAUGUCCUAUUCCUACCUCAUGAACUCACUUCUAGAACUAGAAUCAGAUGCUAGAAUGCUCGAAGAGGAUACAGACAAGAUCUGACCCAGAGGAUACAGUUUACAUAAUGAAAGAAUGACCAGAUUUCACUAAUUUUUAUCAGCAGAAAUCCAAGAAAAGUGCGUGGGUAUGACUCUAAAGGUAACAUGAGAAAAGGAACAUAGUUCCCAUUAUGCACUCAUCGCGCUGGCUCCAGCACUGGCAGUGGUUCUAAGAGUUUGUUUAGCUGUUUUACUGUAACUUGGGCUCAGUGAUGGCCAACAUUAAAUGAAAUUGUGAUGCCAAGUAAUACAAAAGAAGAAAUCAAAAAUACUUAGGGAAUCAGGAUUGUUCGAGUAGAUUAAUUGUAUGCAACCUAUCCACUCACUUUCUAACCAUGCCCCCUAAGAAUAUCCAAAGGACUCUCCUUCACCAGGCCUUGAGUAGUAUAUUUUCAUCUUUGAAAAACUCUGUGGUGGCUGUCCAUGGUGGGUGGGGAAUGUUGACGGGAGAUGUUCCCAUUGAAAAACUACCUGAUUUCAACGGAGAUUAUGGCUCCCAGACUGGCAGAAGCAUGUGGCAACACUUAACUCCAUCCCACCUCCAAAAAAAGGGCCACAGACUCAGAGCAGUAGUCAGAAAGUUUUGCUCACCAGAUACCAUUAGCAGUGGUAAACUUCUUGGAGUUUCCAGUACUGAAAUAGAUGGCAGCCCACAGGUGUGCUACGUGAGCAGAUAUCUAAGACCUCUAUGGCAUGCAUUCCUGCUCUCUGCUUUAUCAACCCACAUCUCUGGUCUCAUGGGGAGUUCCCUGUGACCAGGUGGCUGAGAAAGGAAAAGGUGAAGCACUAUACACUGGCUUUAACUGGAAGUGACCUGAUGUGUUCCAACAGCCCUUCAGGGAAGUGGCCCUAAAGGAUAGUGGGAGAAGGGAAAUCCUUCCAGGGUGCAGCUUCAAGCAAUACACUGAGUUGUCACUUGGGAGGAGAGAAAGCUAGCGGCCUACUUGGAUAUUCGGAGAUUUGGAAGGAACAAGGUCAGAGUGUCGAUGAUAAGGAGGUCUGGGGGAAAAGGAUGUGAGUGACCACUUGGAAUGGACACAGAGUCUGAGUGUAUUGGGUUUCCUUGUGAAUCUUCAUGAGAGUUACCCCCUUCUAAGGAGACUUGAGAAGCUAGUGUGCAAGAAAACUUAUGUAGAUGUCAGUCAGCAUUUCCCCAGCUACCCCAGUGCUCUUUAACACAAAUGAACAGCCUUGGCAGUAGGAAUGGAUGAGAUAGGUGUGCAAUCUUGUCAAGGUGGAUCUUACUGCUGAACACCCGACACUCCGACGGCUGAGCCCAACACUGAGACCCCAGCACAAGUACCCUGAACACCUGUGGAGAGCAGCCCGCCACUUGGUGGCAGGUCGGUUACACGGAGCCCUUCCAUCGUGGAGUGGGCAGGGAUCUGCCUUCUGUGGAGAAAGCAUGUAUUCCAGGUUAAAACCACAUUUUCCAGAUUACUAUGGAGUUAAAAUUCUCAAUAUAAUUCAAGUCUUGCCAGUGAUGGAUAAACAGUGGUGCAAGACUUGGAACAUAGAAGGAAGUCCCAUUUUUCUGUGACAGACCAGUUGGCAAGCAAGCUCAGGGGAGUUGGCAGAAGCUGGACUCAUGUUCCCCUGUCAGCUCUCAAAGGGUAGAGGCCAUCUCAGGUGUCAGCAGUAGCAAUGGCAGUAAGUGACCUGAACUUUGUUCUCUUUUGGGGGCGGCCAGGGAGGGUGGCCACUAAGAGUCGGACACGACUUCACUUUCACUUUUCAUUUUCAUGCAUUGGAGAAGACAAUGGCACCCCACUCCAGUGUUCUUGCCUGGAGAAUCCCAGGGACGGGGGAGCCUGGUGGGCUGCCGUCUAUGGGGUCGCACAGAGUCGGACAUGACUGAAGCGACUUAGCAGCAGCAGCAGCAGCCGGGAGGUUGGCUCAGCAGCAGUGUGGAAUCUUAAUUCUGACACGCUGUUUCAUUUGGUUUUACUUUCUUAAUGAUGCUGUUUUACGUUUUAAAUCUUAAUGUUGCCCAAAAUAUAAAUUGUUUCCUUUU